AUGCAGCACCUGGAUCUGCUUUUCCCACAACAAGCUGCCGCAAGCAGCUGCCCUGUAAAAAACCAUUUGAUUAUUAUUUUUUCCCCCAGCUCCAGGCGGUGCUGCUGGUCCCGUGGCUGCCUGCAGCCCCAAAAAGCAAGCAGGGACCUCAAGCUGCACGAACGUGGCACCGAGCCACAGCACCAAGCAGGCUGCAAACACCCUUCACCCUCUUUGUGCCCCCAAAUCCGGGUCCUGCAAGCAUCGGCAGCAUCUCUGCUCUUCUGCGUGAAACCUGGUGAGCCCCCAGCAUGGACAGACGGACGGAUCCUCCUCUUUGGCAUCCCGCUUCCAGCCGUGCUGCUGUCACAGCUCCUCCGCCCCGCUCUGGGUGCUCGUGCAGCCACUCGGAGCCACGGGGCUGCAGGGAGGUGCCGCGGCCCCGGCACCAAAGGGAAACGCUGCAGGCGGCGGGGCUGGCGCUUGACGGAAAGCAGAGCAAGCUUGCUCUUGUCAAGAGCUUUUCUCACCCCGGUUCCAGUGCCCUGCACCCUAGCUGACCUCGAUGUAUAUGAGAGUAAAUUAGUUAAGAUAGAAGAAACACCCUCGUUAAGCUCUUCAGCGCGCAAGCAAAGCGCGCCGGUUGUGCCGGGAGCAGUGGAAGGCACUGGGGGCUGGGCUGGCCCCCAGCUGGGAGGAUGGAGAAGAUUUCCACCAAAAGUUUGUGCAUCAGUGGUGAAACCCUUGGUGCUGCAGUUAGGGCAACUUCCAGAGAAAGAGAGGCUUUUGCCCUGGGAAUUGUUAAUCCAGUGCAUCCCCUCUGCACGGAAAGCUUCCCGUGCUCCCCGCAGGAUCCGUCGGGCCGCCGCGUGCACGCAGCAUCCUCGCUGGCCCGGCCACCCCCGUGCAGCAUCCCCGGGGAGCGCAGGGACGGGGCAGCGAUCUGGCAGUAAUUACGCGGGGAAAGGCAAAACCCUGCUGGGUUGCUUCAAGCAUCAACGUGUCACAGCUUGGAGCGGAGGCAUUUCACAUACCAAAUUCAGAUGUCAUCAGCAAUAA
rnacentral:lncRNA from 1 species